GUGAGUAUUUUGAGGGUGGUUAAAGGCAAUAUGUUUUCUUUACUGUAAAACAUUUUUUUAAAAAAAUUUAAGCAUUCACCAUAUAUUUUGAUCACACUUUACAUGUUGUGAACACAGUCCUAAUAAUGUGACCGAUUUUAACCACUUAAAAGAAAAAAUAGUUUAAGUCACUCUAAUGUUUGUGAGUAUGGGGACUCAGAGUGGAGCUGCAAUUACUUAGUUGAUUUUCAUGGACCAACAUCAGAGAUAUUAUACAUAAAAUAUCUAGUGCAGCUCCUGGCACAUAGAGACUGUGUGAUUACUUGUAGCUAAUAUUAUAUUUGAUUGGACAGAUUUUACCAUCUUUUAUAAGUUAUAAAUAAAAAGACUAACGUUACAGUUUCCUGCCUUUGAGCAUCCCACCCAUGAAGCAUAGUCUGAGAAAUACUUAAUGUUAGCGUACAAGUCCCCAUUACCUGUUUUGAAUAUUUACUUUUCAGAAUACCUACUUUAUUAAGCACUGUACAUGUUUGGGCCAAUUUAUUUUAACAAGUUAAAUGCACAGCGACAGGUCUGAUGGAGGACACUUUGCUAUCAACGAAUGAUGAGAAAUAAUACUUAGUUUUAUAUUAUGGUAAAAUGUACACAAAGUUUAUCAUUUUAACUAUUUUAGCAGUGCAGUAUAGUCAGCGGCCUUAAUUACAUUAACAUUGUUACUUACAGGUUUUGAAUUUUUCUAUAUUUCAAAAUGUUUUGCUCAGUUUUCCUUUUUUAGUCACAAGAGUGACAUCUUAACUUGAUAACAGAAAGGAGAAAACUCUCACUUUUGCAAUUCUAGUUUCUACUCAAACUGAGUCAAAGUUAUGGCUAACAAUUCCUAUGUGUCAUUGAGAACUGCUUAAGAAUUUGUCGGAAUUUGAAUGUAAAUUUCCUUUGCUUAACAGCUUUUCUUACAGAGAACACACUAAGGAAAAAAGUUUUAAGUUGGGAUAGAAUAAUGAGGCGGUUGAAAUUAUACUUUAGCUAUGAUUAAAUUACUUAAUAGAUACAGAAAAAUACUGCAUAUGGGUAAAUUUGAAAGAAAGUAUGGAAUAUUAUAAAGUUAAUGUAGAUAAAACACAUUCUUCAGUUGAAUAAACAUUUUUACAAGAGUUGAUAUAUACAAGGCACUUUGCUAAGUACUAUGGGAGUUACAAAGAUAGACAAGAUGUGGAUUUAAUCUCAUUGGAGAACCUAACGCAGAUCAGGGUAAGGUUGCAGAAGAUUGCACUUAGAACAGCACAAAGAUGAACAAUUUAAUUUAACUGGAGAUUUACAAAUCUGUUAAUGGUAAACUUUUUAUUUAAUUAUCUUUUAUAUAAAAUAAUUCGAGAUUAUAGAUUAAAAAGAAAAUAUGUUGAAACUCUUAAUUCUCUUCUUUGUUGAAAAGCUAUUCCUUGCUUUAUAUUUUGAAAUUCCUUUUCAUUUUGAGGAUUUGAUUUGUUUCAAUAAAUCAAAAGAUUAAAAUAAGCUUUCUGGGAUAGGAAGUAGUACACUACAAUUACAGAAUUUAGAACAAAUUAUUUUUCAAUACUUUGUACAUUACAGUUCCAAUAAAGAACAGUGACUGCUCUCAUCAUCUAUUUAUUUAUGUUCCUUUGGAGAAAUUCUUUCUCUGAGAUUUCUGCACUGAAGUGUAAUUUGUAAUUUAAAAAUAAGGCAUGUUACUCAAACUGCAUUCCUUCUUUCCUUGUAUCUCUUCUCUUCUUUCCAUCUUAAUUCUGUUUUUCAAAGGCUUCCUCUGCUUAUCUGUCAUGUUCUCCUUUCCCAAAUACUAUUCUUUUUAUAAAAUACUCCAUAUAGCUACCAUCUGCUUCCUCCUCUACUUUUUGUAAUGUUCCUGACUGAAACUGCUUAUGCACAGAAUCAUAAGCUUUUAGAACUCAAAGAUAUUUCAUGGUAAAUAUCUUCAUAAUGGUAUAAGAUUUAUUACUCUUAACUGUUACUAUACAUUUUUAGAUUUUUCUCUCAGAAUUGUCUUCUCCUGGAGGUCCCUACAAUUAUUUGAAGAAUAUAAGAUUAAUGUUUAUUGAAAUUAUCUCUCUUUAGGAUAACUUUUUCUAUGUUGUACUGUUAUAAGAACUAGGAAUUUUUAACCUUACCUCUCAAGCUACUCCUAAUUUUCUUUCAUUAUAUUUGCUCUUGUGAUCUAUAUUUUGCUUCAAUGAAUCCUCCCACCAGUCCAUUACUGUUUUCCUUUUUAUUCUCAUAGCAAAACCUAUGUUAAGUGAUUUUUUUUUUGUACUGGGGAUCGAACUCAGGUCCUUGCACUUGCACAGCAGGCGGCGAAACCACUGAGCUAAAUCCCUGGCCCCUGUUAAGUGAUUUUUUUCAAGGAAGCUGAUUGUAAGAUGUUGGAUCUAAUCCAGUCUCUAGCAUUGGUAAAUAGUGGUUAAACCGAAAUGAAAGCCAAUUAACUUCAUAACUGUUGCCUGCUUUCAUGUUGCUCUUCUUUGCUUUCCCUUCCCCUCUUUUCUUUUUUACUGAGCACUGCUGUAUGCGACCACACGUCAGGCCAACUCCUGGACAGACAGUGGACGUAGCACACGGUCUCUGCUCCCAUGAGCCCAACAGCUGGAUUGCGGACAUAGCAGGGAUUGUUCCAUUUGCCAUUCCACCAACAGUGUAUAAGAACUAUUUCUGUGGAGCCAGACUCUGCCUGGUCUCCUGGGAGCCCUGAGGACCAGGACAACCUCCUGCCCCUGGAGCACUGAUGAUCAUGAGGAUCCCACAGACUUCAGACACUAAGGUGGAUAUUAUGGGGGUGGAGAAAAGGAUUUUACAAGCUGUACUGUAUGAGCUUCAUGUGCUGCUGAGCCAGAAAAUGUGCUCCAGGAGGUUGAAACAGCAAGUGCUAGAUAUGCAAGGCAAGCACAACAACUUCUGGAGAGUCUGGGCUGGAAACAAGUUGGAAACCUGCUUCUCAGAAGCCAUGAAGAGGAGAAACAGAGAAGAGUGGGCCAAGGGCAGCAGAGAAGCAGCCCCUCAAGGUGAUUAUAGACCUGGAGCUCAGUCACGAAUGUCUGUAUCUAUUCCAAUCCUACCUCCUCAAAUGGGUCCAGCAGAGGAAAGGUCUGGUGCAGUUGGAUUGUCUGAAGCU
rnacentral:lncRNA from 1 species